UGGGGAAUUUUGGACAAUGGGGGAAACCCUGAUCCAGCCAUCCCGCGUGUGCGAUGAAGGCCUUCGGGUUGUAAAGCACUUUUGGCAGGAAAGAAACGUCGCGGGUUAAUACCCCGCGAAACUGACGGUACCUGCAGAAUAAGCACCGGCUAACUACGUGCCAGCAGCCGCGGUAAUACGUAGGGUGCAAGCGUUAAUCGGAAUUACUGAGCGUAAAGCGUGCGCAGGCGGUUCGGAAAGAAAGAUGUGAAAUCCCAGAGCUUAACUUUGGAACUGCAUUUUUAACUACCGGGCUAGAGUGUGUCAGAGGGAGGUGGAAUUCCGCGUGUAGCAGUGAAAUGCGUAGAUAUGCGGAGGAACACCGAUGGCGAAGGCAGCCUCCUGGGAUAACACUGACGCUCAUGCACGAAAGCGUGGGGAGCAAACAGGAUUAGAUACCCUGGUAGUCCACGCCCUAAACGAUGUCAACUAGCUGUUGGGGCCUUCGGGCCUUGGUAGCGCAGCUAACGCGUGAAGUUGACCGCCUGGGGGAGUACGGUCGCAAGAUUAAAAAGCUUAAAUGAAUUGACGGGGGUCAUAGCUG
rnacentral:rRNA from 1 species